ensembl:snRNA U2 U2 spliceosomal RNA
AUUGCUUCUCAGACUUUUGGCUAAGAUAAAGUUUAGCAUCUGUUCUUAUUAGUUUAAAACUUCUUUCAGAAAAAUGAUAGCUUUUCUGGAAAUUUAUUCUCUUUACUGUCUUUGAUGUGAAUUUCAGUACAAUUUGAUAAAUUCUAUGCUAAUCUCUA